rnacentral:rRNA from 1 species
CCUACGGGGAGCUGCAGUGGGGGAUAUUGCACAAUGGGGGAAACCCUGAUGCAGCGACGCCGCGGGUGGGAAGACGGUCCUCUGGAUUGUAAACCACUGUCCCCAGGGACGAAAAUGACGGUACCUGGGGAGGAAGCUCCGGCUAACUACGUGCCAGCAGCCGCGGUCAUACGUAGGGAGCGAGCGUUGUCCGGAAUUACUGGGUGAAGAGGGAGCGUAGGCGGGGAUGCAAGUUGGGUGUCAAAACUACCGGCUAAACUGGUAGUCGCACUCAAAACUGCAGCGCUUGAGUGAAGUAGAGGCAGGCAGAAUUCCUAGUGUAGCGGUGAAAUGCGUAGAUAUUAGGAGGAACACCAGUGGCGAAGGCGGCCUGCUGGGCUUUUACUGACGCUGAGGCUCGAAAGUGUGGGGAGCAAACAGGAUUAGAUACCCUGGUAGUC